UCGCCUGUUUAUCAAAAACAUCUCUAAAUGACUUUCAUUUUUAGUAAGACCUGCUCAAUGACUUUUUAAAUUGCCGCAUUCAAUGUGCUAAGGUAGCAUAAUCAUUUGCCUUUUAAUUGUAGGCUAGUAUGAAUGGUUGUUCAUGUGGAUUUCUUUAUUGACUUUAUUUCUUCAAUUUUUCUUUUAAGUAAAAAGACUUAUAUUUAUUAGAGGGACGACAAGACCCUAUCGAGCUUUACUUAUGUUGAACUGGGGCGGUAUUAAACUAAAUCUUUAUAAUUUUCCUUCAAACAUUCUUUUUAUAAAAUUUAUAAGUUACCGUAGGGAUAACAGCAUAAUCUUCUUUCAUAGAUCUUAUUGAAAAGAAAGUUUAUGACCUCGAUGUUGAAUUAUUAAUCUUUUUGAAGCAAAAUUUAAAAAAGAAAGUCUGUUCGACUUUUAAAAAUUUACGUGAUCUGAGUUC
rnacentral:rRNA from 1 species